UUACGACCACAUCACAGUGAAAGACCGAUUCCCGAUUAUGUUCAACUAAGUUAAGCAACGUUGAGCCUAGUCAGUAACUAGAUGGGUGACCGCUGGGGAAUACCAGGUGCUGUAAG